AAUGAAGUAGCUCUAUUGUCUAUAUUAUUUUUCCCACAAAUCUCCGUUUGCCGAUCUUUCCAAAGCUCAAUCCCAGAAAAGCGUCACCACUGCCAGCCUUCGAUCCUUCGAAAGAUCCGAUCAGAUCUCUCUCACUGCACUUCUCAUACAGUUUUCUUUCUCUCUCUAUGCAUACACCUGUAUCGAUUGUUUUCUGCUACUCCAUUCUCCGGUUUGUCGAAAAUUCUUGAACAAGAAUUUGUUAGACUCUGUGAACUGUGUAAUUUGUGUGCUUUGUCGUGAAAAAGGAGUCGUUUGGUGUAAUUUGUUGAAAAGUUAGGUUUUUUGGGGGGAAAGUUUUAGAUCGUGACCUAGGGUUUCUGAAGAUCAGAAAUUGAUAAAAAAAAUUGGGUCUAUUCUUUAUUUUUCUUGCUUUCUUAGUGUGGUGUGAGUGAGUGUAUGAGGAUUUGGUGUUGUUUAUGUUUUGGAGAAGAAGAAGAUAAUAAGAAGGGCUACAAGAGUAUGA
rnacentral:misc_RNA from 1 species